rnacentral:rRNA from 1 species
AUGCAGUCGAGCGCUUCUUCCGGUGGAGCGGCGGACGGGUUAGUAACGCGCGGGAACAUACCCUUUUCUACUGAAUAUCCUUUGGAAACACAGAGUAUUACCGUAUACUCCCUUUGGGGGAAAGAUUUAUCUGAGAAGGAUCGGCCCGCGUUAGAUUAUAUAGUUGGAGGGGUAAUGGCCUACCAAGUCUACGAUCUAUGGCUGGUUUGAGAGGAUGAUCAGAAACACUGGGACUGAGACACGGCCCACACUCCUACGGGAGG